UCGCAUCUGUGCAUGCAGCAUAUCAAUAAGCGGAGGAAAAGAAACUAACAAGGAUUCCCCUAGUAACGGCGAGUGAAGCGGGAAGAGCUCAAAUUUGAAAUCUUAAAGGGUUUCCCUUUACGAAUUGUAGUUUAAAGAAGUGUUUUCUGUUGAGGUUUUGGUAAAAGUUCUUUGGAAUAGGACAUCAUAGAGGGUGAGAAUCCCGUAUUUGACCUUUACUUUCAACUUUGUGAUACACUUUCAAAGAGUCGGAUUGUUUGGGAAUGCAGUCCAAAAUGGGUGGUAAAUUUCAUCUAAAGCUAAAUAUUGGCGAGAGACCGAUAGCGAACAAGUACCGUGAGGGAAAGAUGAAAAGAACUUUGAAAAGAGAGUUAAACAGUACGUGAAAUUGUCAAAAGGGAAGCGUUUGACACCAGUGUUGUUUUUCUGAAAAUCAAUUAAAGAACUGUUUAUGCUAAGUUGUUUAGACUUUAUCAGCUAACUGUUUAGUUUUGAGCUUCUCUUUAAUGCACUUUUCAGUUAACAAGUCAACAUCAAUUUCUUUUGCUGUAAAAAAGCUUGAGGAAGGUGGCUUGAGAUUCGUCUUAAGUGUUUAUAGCCUCUUGCCUAUGCAGUCGGAGAGAUUGAGGUCUGCAGCGUAGAUCCUUCGGGGCUAAAUGCAUUUGUGCUAAGUUAUAACAUUUUAUAGACAACUUGUUGACUAUGAUUUGUCUUGUAGCUUACUCGCUUAUGUUAUUUUACCUACGCUUAGGAUGUUGAACGCGCACAGAGUCUC
rnacentral:rRNA from 1 species